CCUANGGGAGGCAGCAGUAGGGAAUAUUGCACAAUGGGCGAAAGCCUGAUGCAGCAACGCCGCGUGUACGAUGAAGGCCUUCGGGUCGUAAAGUACUUUUCAGGGAGAUGAGAAAGGACAGUACCCCUGGAAUAAGUCUCGGCUAACUACGUGCCAGCAGCCGCGGUAAAACGUAGGAGGCGAGCGUUAUCCGGAUUUACUGGGUGUAAAGCGCGUGCAGGCGGUUUGAUAAGUUGGAUGUGAAAGCUCCUGGCUCAACUGGGAGAGGUCGUUCAAAACUAUCAGACUAGAGAGUGGUAGAGGAAAGUGGAAUUCCCGGUGUAGUGGUGAAAUGCGUAGAUAUCGGGAGGAACACCAGUGGCGAAGGCGGCUUUCUGGACCAUUUCUGACGCUCAGACGCGAAAGCUAGGGUAGCAAACGGGAUUAGAUACCCGGNUANUC
rnacentral:rRNA from 1 species